GAUGAACGCUGGCGGCGUGCUUAACACAUGCAAGUCGAACGAAGAGGGUUAGAAUGAGAGCUUCGGCAGGAUUUCUUUCCAUCUUAGUGGCGGACGGGUGAGUAACGUGUGGGCAACCUGCCCUGUACUGGGGAAUAAUCAUUGGAAACGAUGACUAAUACCGCAUGUGGUUCUCGGAAGGCAUCUUCUGAGGAAGAAAGGAUUUAUUCGGUACAGGAUGGGCCCGCAUCUGAUUAGCUAGUUGGUGAGAUAACAGCCCACCAAGGCGACGAUCAGUAGCCGACCUGAGAGGGUGAUCGGCCACAUUGGGACUGAGACACGGCCCAAACUCCUACGGGAGGCAGCAGUGGGGAAUAUUGCACAAUGGGCGAAAGCCUGAUGCAGCAACGCCGCGUGAAGGAUGAAGGGUUUCGGCUCGUAAACUUCUAUCAAUAGGGAAGAAACAAAUGACGGUACCUAAAUAAGAAGCCCCGGCUAACUACGUGCCAGCAGCCGCGGUAAUACGUAGGGGGCAAGCGUUAUCCGGAAUUACUGGGUGUAAAGGGAGCGUAGGCGGCAUGGUAAGCCAGAUGUGAAAGCCUUGGGCUUAACCCGAGGAUUGCAUUUGGAACUAUCAAGCUAGAGUACAGGAGAGGAAAGCGGAAUUCCUAGUGUAGUGGUGAAAUGCGUAGAUAUUAGGAAGAACACCAGUGGCGAAGGCGGCUUACUGGACAGUAACUGACGUUGAGGCUCGAAAGCGUGGGGAGCAAACAGG
rnacentral:rRNA from 1 species